UACGAAGGGGGCUAGCGUUGUUCGGAAUUACUGGGCGUAAAGCGCACGUAGGCGGAUCGAUCAGUCAGGGGUGAAAUCCCAGGGCUCAACCCUGGAACUGCCUUUGAUACUGUCGAUCUGGAGUAUGGAAGAGGUGAGUGGAAUUCCGAGUGUAGAGGUGAAAUUCGUAGAUAUUCGGAGGAAUACCAGUGGCGAAGGCGGCUCACUGGUCCAUUACUGACGCUGAGGUGCGAAAGCGUGGGGAGCAAACAGG
rnacentral:rRNA from 1 species